GCCAGUGUGUCAUAGUGGUUUGAGUGUUGGACUAUGACUAUGGAGACUAGGGUUCGAUUCCCUGCUCCGCCA
rnacentral:tRNA from 1 species